UUGUGGUGGUUCCGGAAGGGACAACAAGUCCCCAGUGACACUUGUCGCUUCGAACUCUCUAUGCACUCCUUUUUUCUUCUUUUUCUUCAUUUUUUCAUCUAACCCAUGACCAAAUCUGUGUGUGUGUGUGUGUCAAAAAGACUCAAAAAAGAGUCAUUUGGCCGUGUGCCAACAACUGCUCAGUCUCUAUCUUUUCUUCUUUUCUAAAUAAAACAACACUUAUUUCUCUGUUUUGUCAAGAGAAAAACGGAGAAAAAAGGAUAAAAUGCAUUAUUUUC
ensembl:ncRNA F29G9.12 ncRNA